rnacentral:lncRNA from 1 species
AUAAAAAUACUGUUAUUGUUUAAAACAACAGAAUAAACAGUAAGAUUCAUUAGGUGCAGCUGAAUAGCACCUAGAUUCCCAGAUUUGUAAUAGAAACAAAGGUAAAAAUUAGUAUCACAGACUUUCCUGUUUUACAUUGUGGUAGAUUAUUCUUUAUUAUAUAACCAAUUAACAAAAAACACAGUCCAGUAACAGAAAUCUGGAAUACAGAUUACAUAGAAUCUUAAAGGUUUUAGGUGGUGGAUGCAAACAUUAGGAUCACAAAAAAACAACAACAGAAUGUUAAGCACAAAAUGUAACAGCAAUCAAAAACCAAAAACUAUCAACAUGUGCAUUGUUAAAGAACUGGGUUUCCUUUUCAUUUUACAUGUGAACUUCUUUUUUACACAAACUCAACUUAUAAACGUCUUGUAUAAUAUAUUUCAGACCAAGAAACAUAGUGAUUUACAAUUAAUAAUUGUCCUGUUACGAUCCAGUGUGCAGACAGAAACUAAACAUUUCAACAUCUGGAUACAAGCUUCUUCAAGACAAUCAUAAAAGAAGCAAAGCUGGAACUCAAA